AAGUCGUAACAAGGUUUCCGUAGGUGAACCUGCGGAAGGAUCAUUUCUGAACUAAGGGAGAGAGAAAAGUUAACAAAAGGAGUGUCAUGCUCUUUUUGAAGACUUUUUCUUUCUUUCCUUAUCAAAGAGAGUGUGUGGUAUAAAUGAAAAGGAAAAUAAACAAAAAGGAAUUUUAGCGGGUACAUUUAUUUGUACUCGUUGUUUCUUUUGUUGUUUUCCUAAUCUUACUUUUAUGAACCAAAACAAGUUACUUUUAUUGUUCAAAACAAACUGUCUUUCUUUUUUUGUUUCUUUUUUGGAAGUUUGUUCGCUCUUUUGCGUUCAGAUGGAAAGAAAAAGACAAAGGGGGAAAAACAACAAAAAAAAUGACAUACAACUGUCAACGGUGGAUCUCUUGGCUCGU
rnacentral:misc_RNA from 1 species